rnacentral:rRNA from 1 species
GAGUUUGAUCCUGGCUCAGGACGAACGCUGGCGGCGUGCUUAACACAUGCAAGUUGAACGAUGAAGCCUAGCUUGCUAGGUGGAUUAGUGGCGAACGGGUGAGUAAUACGUGAGUAACCUGCCUUUAACUCUGGGAUAAGCCUUGGAAACGAGGUCUAAUACCGGAUACGACCAGUUCCCGCAUGGGAUGCUGGUGGAAAGGGAUAUGUACUGGUUUUAGAUGGGCUCACGGCCUAUCAGCUUGUUGGUGAGGUAAUGGCUCACCAAGGCGACGACGGGUAGCCGGCCUGAGAGGGUGACCGGCCACACUGGGACUGAGACACGGCCCAGACUCCUACGGGAGGCAGCAGUGGGGAAUAUUGCACAAUGGGCGCAAGCCUGAUGCAGCGACGCCGCGUGAGGGAUGACGGCCUUCGGGUUGUAAACCUCUUUCAGCAGGGAAGAAGCGAAAGUGACGGUACCUGCAGAAGAAGCGCCGGCUAACUACGUGCCAGCAGCCGCGGUAAUACGUAGGGCGCGAGCGUUGUCCGGAAUUAUUGGGCGUAAAGAGCUUGUAGGCGGUUUGUCACGUCUGCUGUGAAAGCCCGGGGCUUAACUCCGGGUCUGCAGUGGGUACGGGCUAACUAGAGUGCAGUAGGGGAGACUGGAAUUCCUGGUGUAGCGGUGAAAUGCGUAGA